ensembl:snRNA
AAAAAGGGUUUUUGCCAUGCAUGGCACACGUGGAGCAGUGGGGUUAUCCUUGGUCAUUUUUCAUGCAAAAUCUACAUCAAGAUUUUGGAAGCACACUUUUUGUUCUUUGGGCAGCUGGUGAUAUUGGUCCUGGUUUCCUU